AUGUAUGCAAGAAAUGGUCUGUGGAUGCUUGGGCAAACGAAAAAGAGGAAACGCACGGACAUGCGAUGUGAGUGCCCUGCAUUGACAUGUUUGCUUCGAUCAAAUGACAAUGGCUGGUACAUAAGUGAGCACAGACCAUCCCACCACCAUUCCUUGACAGAUAAAUGUGGUGAAAAGGUGUACUGGCCUUCACAUAAACAUAUAGAUCUGUAUAAAAGAGACCUUGUCAAACAGCUUAGGGAGAACAAUAUCAGCAUUGGAAAAGUUUACAACAUAAUUGGUAGUUUCUUCGGCUCAAUGAAUAAUGUGCCUUUCACGAAAAGGGCUUUGAGGGGUCUAUGUGGUGAAAUCAGCCGAGAUCAAGCAGAUGAUGAUGUCCGGAAAACUAUGGAUGUCUUUGCAGAAUUGGGUUCAAAGGAUUCUGGUUAA
rnacentral:rRNA from 1 species